GUGCUCGCUUCGGCAGCACAUAUACUAAAAUUGGAACGAUACAGAGAAGAUUAGCGUGGCGCCUGCGCAAGGAUGAUACGCAAAUUCGUGAAGCAUUCAUAUUUCUU
ensembl:snRNA U6 U6 spliceosomal RNA